UACGUAGGGUGCAAGCGUUGUCCGGAAUUAUUGGGCGUAAAGAGCUCGUAGGCGGCUUGUCACGUCGGCUGUGAAAACCCGGGGCUCAACCCCGGGCCUGCAGUCGAUACGGGCAAGCUAGAGUUCGGCAGGGGAGACUGGAAUUCCUGGUGUAGCGGUGAAAUGCGCAGAUAUCAGGAGGAACACCGGUGGCGAGGGCGGCUCUCUGGGACGGUACUGACGCUGAGACGCGAAAGCGUGGGGAGCGAACAGG
rnacentral:rRNA from 1 species